AGAGGGGGUUAGUAGCUUGCCACAGGAAUCUAGUGAGAAAAGUGUCAGAACCUGAAUUCAAUGCUUUCUAACUCCAGAACCCAUGCUUACAAUGAAGUGUGAACGAAGACACAGAGCACCCUGUGGCUGUUUUCUCCCAACAACAACACUUUUCACUAUGUCUUCCAGUGAGACCUGCCUUCCGCCAUGAUUGUGAGGCCUUCCCAGCCACCUGGAACUUCUUCUCUCUCCAGCUCAAUGAAUACACCUCACACGCAAGAGAAGAUGAAUUUAUCUUUGUGGCUGAGAAAUGCUCACAUGUGAGAGCGGGAAAGAACACAAGCUUUGGAGAGGAGAACACGGUUGAAACCUCGGUCCUGAAACCUAGUGUGGUCUUUAAGCCAGGUUCCUUACCUUCUACCCCACAGCAUUCCAUCUGUCAAUAAAAUUAGUAAGGACUGGGGUGU